rnacentral:rRNA from 1 species
UGGGGAAUAUUGCACAAUGGGGAACCGUAGCAUGCAGCCAUGCCGCGUGUAUGAAGAAGGCCUUAGGGUUGUAAAGUACUUUCGGUGAUGAGGAAGGUACUUGGUCUAAUAGGCCAAGUAAUUGACGUUAAUUACAGAAGAAGCACCGGCUAACUCCGUGCCAGCAGCCGCGGUAAUACGGAGGGUGCGAGCGUUAAUCGGAAUGACUGGGCGUAAAGGGCAUGUAGGCGGAUGAUUAAGUUAGGUGUGAAAUCCCCGACGCGUCAACUUGGGAAUUGCAUUUAAAACUGGUCGUCUAGAGUAUUGUAGAGGAAGGUAGAAUUCCACGUGUAGCGGUGAAAUGCGUUAGAGAUGUGGAGGAAUACCGGUGGCGAAGGCGGCCUUCUGGACAGAUACUGACGCUGAGAUGCGAAAGCGUGGGGAGCAAACA